CUGGCAGCCACGGCUCGGGAAGCCACGGCAGCGCAGCUGUUUUCCCAUAUACUUCUUCCCGUAGUUACAACAGUAGAAAAACUUUGCGCGGAGCAGCUGUUGCCAAGAAUGCCCAGCUGACUGCAGCCUCUGCGGGCUCCUCAUGCUCUCCUCCUCAAGUGUUUGUCCUUGGUCAAGAGUUGCUGCAGGCAGAGGUCCAAAUUAUGGGCAAAUUAGUGUCAGAGUGGAUUCUUGGCAUUUGCAUGGCCAAUUCCUGAAACAACUGCAAGCAUACAUGUUCCUUUGGUGCUCUACUUCAUGGAUUGAUCUGAAAGGUUAACGUGGGUAUUGGCCUCUUUUUCCAAGUAACAACUGAUAGGAUGAGAGGAAAGAGCCUCAAGUUGUGCCAGGGAGGUUCAGAUUGGAUAUUAGGAAAAAUUUCUUCCCGGAAAUGGCUGUCAGGCAUUGGAACAGGCUGCCCAGGGAAGUGGUUGAGUCACCAUCCCUGGAGGUGUUUAAAAAAUGUGUAGACGAGGUGCUUAGGGACGUGGUUUAGAGGUGGACUUCACUGUGCUAGGUUAAUGGCUGGACUCAAUGAUCUUAAAGGUCUUUUCCAACCUAAAUAAUUCUGUGAUUCUAUGAUAUAGUAUGGCAGUUUUCUAUAAAAGACAUCUGAUACAGAGCUGGUGUAGCUAUCGGGCUCACAGGCCCAUGAAACAGAUGCAUGAGAGCUGGGAUCUGUGCUGGGAUCUGGGCUUCCUCACUUCCAACGUGGCUCUGCUGUUAUGAUCCUUAUCGCAGAGGUUGCAAGUAUUUACCUGGCCCUUUGGCUGACGUCAAGGAAGUUCGACAAGGAAUUUCCCUGGUGUGAAGAAUUCCUCUGUGCAUGCAGACUGGACACGGACACAUUCUUACCCUGUGUAGGUUGCCAUCAUGGAGUCUGGAGCAUAACCACAGAAUAAUUUAGGCUCAAGUGGACCUCCAGAGGUUAUUUGGUCCAACCUCCUUUCCAAACAGGGCCAAGCAGUGCAUCUGGAUGGAGGCAUCCUGAUAAAUCAGUUCCUCUGAAGACUGUGAUUUAAAAAUUAAUGUUGGGAUGGAUUUUGAGCUAAUUUAAACUGUCAGGGGAUGCCCAAUUCCCACUAAUGCCAGGAGCGUUACUCCGCGUUGAAGAAUGAGAUCUGAUGGAUUUUGCCGCAGCAGCUACAGAAGUGACCGCCCCAGGCGUCUCACCCCACUGCUCCACUGCAGGUGAUCGCCGUCCCAGCAACGUCAGCAGAAGAGAGUACGUCACACCUCAGUUUC